UAUUUUACUGAUUGACUGACAUUUUUGCAGCUAACAUUUAUAGACCGUCUUUUAUUACAUAUUUUUGACAGGAUAAAUUUGCAAGCCUUCAUGAAUAAUGAAACUUGGACAGAAGCUAAUCAGCAAGAUCAAGAAAAAGCAUUUUAAGAAAGAUUUUAUGUUUAUUCUCUAUUUUCCUUAUAAGUAGACCAUCUUUUUAAAGUUAACACUACACUUUGGCAGUGACAGCAGCAAUCACAGACAAGGCAAAGAAUCCCUAUAAAUCCCCUACAAAUUUUUUAGAUAAUCAUUUAUUUAAUUAAACAACAGAUUAAUAUGAUCUGGACUCUUUUGUGAUAUUUAUAUUAGGUCAUUAACGUUUCCAAAUUUAUGCAUUUGACCUGAAAUUUCACUUAUUGUUUUGUCAAAAUAUAUAUGAGCAACAGCAUUACCCGA
rnacentral:lncRNA from 1 species